UACGUAGGUGGCAAGCGUUGUCCGGAUUUACUGGGCGUAAAGGAUGCGUAGGUGGAUAUUUAAGUCAGAUGUGAAAUACCCGAGCUCAACUUGGGUGCUGCAUUUGAAACUGGAUAUCUAGAGUGCAGGAGAGGUAAGUGGAAUUCCUAGUGUAGCGGUGAAAUGCGUAGAGAUUAGGAAGAACACCAGUGGCGAAGGCGACUUACUGGACUGUAACUGACACUGAGGCAUGAAAGCGUGGGGAGCAAACAG
rnacentral:rRNA from 1 species